rnacentral:lncRNA from 1 species
CUUAAGCCAUGCAUGUCCCACGAUAUUACAGAAUUGAUAGCAAGAAUAUGAACGCAACUAAGUUCCAAGGUUUUCUUUAUAUUUUUUCAAGACGAUGAUGGGAUAAUACUGAUGUGCACACGCUACCACAAAUAAAACGAUAUGUGGGUGUGUGCAGAGCUAAAUUCCAUGUAUAAGAUGAUGAUAAGGUUAAGGUCUAACAAAAAAGUCUACCUCAUAUAUUUUCGCUCUGUUGUUUUAGUGUUCUCCAAGGAAUUCAAAUGGCAUGUGUAUUCUGUAUUUUUGUAGAACCACGUCAAUUUGAUAGUGCAUGAAAAUGACUCAACAAAAUUGGGCAAUAUCUACCAAAGCAAUAUGUUCAUGAAAAGAGGGAACACAGAGA